CCCUUAGAUGUUCUGGGCCGCACGCGCGCUACACUGACGAAUGCAACGAGCUUAUAACCUUGGCCGAAAGGUCUGGGUAAUCUCCAAAUUUCGUCGUGAUGGGGAUAGAUUAUUGCAAUUAUUAAUCUUCAACGAGGAAUGCCUAGUAAGCGCAAGUCAUCAGCUUGCGUUGAUUACGUCCCUGCCCUUUGUACACACCGCCCGUCGCUCCUACCGAUUGAAUGGUCCGGUGAAGCGUUCGGACCGUGGCCUUUGGACGGUUCGCCGUCUGUUGGCUGCGGGAAGUUCGUUAAACCUUAUCAUUUAGAGGACGGAGAAGUCGUAACA
rnacentral:rRNA from 1 species